UUACCGGCGGUCUCUAAUUCGCUUGGUGCAGGUCGGGAACUGAUUGGCUUCGCUUGUAUGUACUUGUGUGUACAGUAUGUACUUAAUCAAUGCCAGAUGGCGAGAUGUGAUUAGUUGAGAUGAAUGGAAGCGAAUUGGAUCCCGCCUUGCAUCAACUGAAUCGGAGACCGCGGUGAAG
rnacentral:pre_miRNA from 1 species